rnacentral:rRNA from 1 species
AGAGUUUGAUCAUGGCUCAGAAUGAACGCUGGCGGCGUGCUUAACACAUGCAAGUCGCACGAGAACGCUUCAGCUUGCUGAAGUUAGUAAAGUGGCGCACGGGUGAGUAACGCGUGGGUAAUCUUCCCCCGAAUUGGGGAUAACAUUGCGAAAGCGAUGCUAAUACCGGAUAAUAUCUUUUGUACCCAGGUACUUAAGAUCAAAGGUGGCCUCUAUAUGUAAGCUACUGUUUGGGGAUGAGCCCGCGUACCAUUAGCUUGUUGGUAGGGUAACGGCCUACCAAGGCUGCGAUGGUUAGCUGGUCUGAGAGGAUGAUCAGCCACACUGGAACUGAGACACGGUCCAGACUCCUACGGGAGG